CCUGCGGCUUAAUUUGACUCAACACUGGAAAACUUACUAGGUCUAAACAUAACAAAGAUCGAUAGACUGAGAGUUCUUUCUUGAUUUUAUGGGUGGUGUGCACUGGUGAAGAAACCGUUUUUACUCCCGGUUGGUAACCCCCUUUAGUCCCUAGUUUCCAACCGGG
rnacentral:ncRNA from 1 species